rnacentral:rRNA from 1 species
UGGGGAAUAUUGCACAAUGGGGGGAACCCUGAUGCAGCAACGCCGCGUGAAGGAGGAAGUAUUUCGGUAUGUAAACUUCUAUCGACAGGGACGAAAAAAGUGACGGUACCUGAAUAAGAAGCCCCGGCUAAUUACGUGCCAGCAGCCGCGGUAAUACGUAAGGGGCGAGCGUUAUCCGGAAUUACUGGGCGUAAAGGGUGAGUAGGCGGCGCGGCAAGUCAUAUGUGAAAGCCCGAGGCUUAACCUCGGAGCUGCAUAAGAAACUGUCGAGCUAGAGUGCAGGAGAGGCAAGCGGAAUUUCUAGUGUAGCGGUGAAAUGCGUAGAUAUUAGGAAGAACACCGGUGGCGAAGGCGGCUUGCUGGACUGAAACUGACGCUGAGUCACGAAAGCGUGGGGAGCAAACAGG